UAGUCCACGCCGUAAACGAUGUUCACUCGCUGUUGGCGAUAUACUGUCAGCGGCCAAGCGAAAGCAUUAAGUGAACCACCUGGGGAGUACGAUCGCAAGGUUGAAACUCAAAGGAAUUGACGGGGGCCCGCACAAGCGGUGGAGCAUGUGGAUUAAUUCGAUGAUACGCGAGGAUCCUUACCUAGGCUCGAACGCUAUUUGACAGCUACUGAAAGGUGGUUUUCUUCGGACAGAUAGUGAGGUGCUGCAUGGUUGUCGUCAGCUCGUGCCGUGAGGUGUUGGGUUAAGUCCCGCAACGAGCGCAACCCCUAUUCUUAGUUGCCAGCAUGUAAUGAUGGGGACUCUAAGGAGACUGCCGGCGUAAGCCGCGAGGAAGGUGGGGACGACGUCAAAUCAUCAUGGCCUUUAUGCCUAGGGCUACACACGUGCUACAAUGGUGACUACAGAGGGUCGCGAAACCGUGAGGUGGAGCUAAUCUCAGAAAGGUCAUCCC
rnacentral:rRNA from 1 species